AACGAACGCUGGCGGCAGGCUUAACACAUGCAAGUCGAGCGCCCCGCAAGGGGAGCGGCAGACGGGUGAGUAACGCGUGGGAAUCUACCCAUCUCUACGGAAUAACGCAUGGAAACGUGUGCUAAUACCGUAUACGUCCUUCGGGAGAAAGAUUUAUCGGAGAUGGAUGAGCCCGCGUUGGAUUAGCUAGUUGGUGGGGUAAAGGCCUACCAAGGCGACGAUCCAUAGCUGGGCUGAGAGGAUGAUCAGCCACACUGGGACUGAGACACGGCCCAGACUCCUCCGGGAGGCAGCGGUGGGGAAUAUUGGACAAUGGGCGCAAGCCUGAUCCAGCCAGCCGCGUGAGUGAUGAAGGCCCUAGGGUUGUAAAGCUCUUUCACCGGUGAAGAUAAUGACGGUAACCGGAGAAGAAGCCCCGGCUAACUUCGUGCCAGCCGCCGCCGUAACAC
rnacentral:rRNA from 1 species